UGGGGAAUAUUGCACAAUGGGCGCAAGCCUGAUGCAGCCAUGCCGCGUGUGUGAAGAAGGCCUUCGGGUUGUAAAGCACUUUCAGCGGGGAGGAAGGCGUUAAGGUUAAUAACCUUGGCGACUGACGUUACCCGCAGAAGAAGCACCGGCUAACUCCGUGCCAGCAGCCGCGGUAAUACGGAGGGUGCAAGCGUUAAUCGGAAUUACUGGGCGUAAAGCGCACGCAGGCGGUCUGUCAAGUCGGAUGUGAAAUCCCCGGGCUCAACCUGGGAACUACAUUCGAAACGGGCAGGCUAGAGUCUUGUAGAGGGGGGUAGAAUUCCAGGUGUAGCGGUGAAAUGCGUAGAGAUCUGGAGGAAGACCGGUGGCGAAGGCGGCCCCCUGGACAAAGACUGACGCUCAGGUGCGAAAGCGUGGGGAGCAAACAGG
rnacentral:rRNA from 1 species